GUACAUGAUGACUUAACAUUGAAUCUCGUUCGGCUGAUUACUUGCUGUUGAGACUCAGAAAUCUGAUUUUC